GCAUACGAGCAAAUGGUAAUGGAUGCAGUAGGUCCACAUUUCUUUCAGGACGAUAUGGAGGAGCAUCCAAAUCCAUCAGCUUAUAAAUUGUAUGACAUGUUACAAGUUGCUAAUCAGGAGGUCUGGCCAGGUUGUGAAAACCAUUCGCAACUGUUAGUUGUAGCAAGGAUGUUGAACAUAAAGGCAUAACAUCAUUUGUCAUAAAGUUAUUUUGAUGACAUAUGCCAACUGAUAAAAGAGGUGUUACCAGUUGAUAAUAUAAUGACCGAAGACUUUUAUAGUACAAAGAAGUUGGUUCAAGGCUUGGGCCUACCGGUAGAGAAGAUUCACUGUUGUACUAAUGGAUGUAUGUUA
rnacentral:misc_RNA from 1 species